AGCGGGCUUGUUCAUCUGCUUUUGUCUGUCUGCUAUACACUGGGAAGGAGUCGCACCUCUGCGCAGUGUCCCACGUACAGGGCCUUGAUCGUCGUGGGUGGGCCCGCUGCACGGAGGGGUUUUAAGAUGCCCGCUGGUGUGUUAUCCUUGGAGAAAAGAAUGAGGUUUCUGGAGGCCCACAAGGGGGAAGUGCCCCUUUGUAGAGAUUUUGCUGUAACCUGAGGACUGGAAGUCUAAAAUCUGUUGAAUGUUAAAUCUACCACUUGGGAGACCUGGAAUGGCCAGAAUGCCUAGGUGAUCUGCUGUCAGCACCAGACUGUUGUGGAGUAUGUGCCCUGGCUGUGGAUUUUCCUGGUACAAAGGAUGGUGACCAUCUGUUUCAGUUUGCUUUUCCUGAUAAGCCUGUGAGCACCUAUCAACUAGACAGAAAACUACCUGCAACCAGUGCUGUGGUUAAAGGGAAUGGUGGGGCCUUAUCCAAAAGAUGACAAUAAAAUCUUAACCAAAUAAUUCA